rnacentral:rRNA from 1 species
AAGAAAGUGAGUGGGAGCUCUGUUGUAUUUCUAAUAUUAUAUGUGGAUGACAUAUUGUUGAUUGGAAAUGAUAUAGAAUUUCUGGAUAGCAUAAAAGGAUACUUGAAUAAGAGUUUUUCAAUGAAAGACCUCGGUGAAGCUGCUUAUAUAUUGGGCAUCAAGAUCUAUAGAGAUAGAUCAAGACGCUUGAUUGGACUUUCACAAAGUACAUACCUUGAUAAAGUUUUGAAGAAGUUCAAAAUGGAUCAAGCAAAGAAAGGGUUCUUGCCUGUGUUACUAGGUGUGAAGUUGAGUCAGACUCAAUGCCCGACCACUGCAGAAGAUAGAGAGAAAAUGAAAGGAGUUCCCUAUGCUUCAGCCAUAGGCUCUAUCAUGUAUGCAAUGUUGUGUACCAGACCUGAUGUGUGCCUUGCUAUUAGUUUAGCAGGGAGGUACCAAAGUAAUCCAGGAGUGGAUCACUAG